AUGGGGCUUGGGCUCAGCUGGAUUUUCCUUGUUGCUAUUUUAAGAGGUGUCCAGGGUGAGGUGCAGCUGGUGGAGUCUGGGGGAGCCGUGGUGAAGCCUGGGGGGUCUCUGAGACUCUCCUGUGCAGCCUCUGGAUUCACCUUCAGUAGUAAUGCCAUGAGCUGGGUCCGCCAGGCUCCAGGGAAGGGGCUGGAGUGGGUCUCAGCUAUUAGUAGUAGUGGAAGUAGCACAUACUAUGCAGACUCUGUGAAAGGCCGGUUCACCAUCUCCAGAGACAACGCCAAGAACACGCUGUAUCUGCAGAUGAAUAGCCUGAAAUCUGAGGACUCGGCCGUGUAUUACUGUGCAGCAGACACAGUGAGAGGAGGUCAAUUGGCUUCAGAAGAUGAGUUUGAUGAUGCCACUGUCCCAGGGGACCAGAGGACCUUCAGUUCCAACAUAAUUGAGGACUCAGGAGGUCCGGGCAGGCCCAUCAACCAGGAGAAAUGA